rnacentral:rRNA from 1 species
AGCUCCAAGAGCGUAUAUUAAAGUUGUUGCAGUUAAAAAGCUCGUAGUUGGAUUUCUGGUAUAAUGCGCCUGGCCCGCUCCGUUUCGGAGUGAGUGCCGGUGCGCGUUUGCCAUCCUUCUAGAAAAUGUUUCUACCCUUCGCUGGGCCGGAUUCACGAUCUAGAUCUUUUACUUUGAAAAAAUUAGAGUGUUUAAAGCAGGCUUUUGCUAUGAAUACAUUAGCAUGGAAUAAUAAUCUAGGACUUCGGUUCUAUUUUGUUGGUUUCUAGUACUGAAGUAAUGAUUGAUAGGGAUAGUUGGGGGUGCUAGUAUUGACCGGCCAGAGGUGAAAUUCUUGGAUUCGGUCAAGACUAACUUAUGCGAAAGCAUUCACCAAGGAUGUCUUCUUUAAUCAAGAACG